AUGCCUCGGCACCCAAAGUCAGCCCACGACCUGUACAACGACAUCAAGGUCUUCCUCAGCGAUCUGCCGUGUUGCAGACGGACCCAGAAGGUGCGUCAGGCGGUGGCCAACAUGCUCAUCCGCAAGGGCACGGAGCGGUGCGUGUUGUGGCUGGCGGGGCACUCGCUGGGCGCGUCGCUGGCGCUGGAGGUGGGGCGGGACAUGGCGGAGCAGCACCAGGCGUACCUGCCGACCUUCCUCUUCAACCCGCCCAACGUGUCACCGAUGCCGGCCUUGAACCUCCUCAACCCGUCGGAGGUGGCGAAGAAGGACGUGUUCACGGGGAGCUACCUCGUGAAGGCGGCGCUCGGGGCCACACGCCUGUCGCCAUGGGUGCCGGAGCUGUACGUGAACGAGAGGGACAUCAUUUGUCAGGGCUUCAUCGACUACUUCGAGCAGCGACAGAAGGUGGAGGAGCGCAUAGGCGGCCUCGGCAGGGCAGCCAUGAAGCUGUCCUAUCGCGACAUGCUCUCCUCCCUCAUCGGCAGCAGCAAGGAGCAGCCGCACCUUUUGCCGUCCGCGAGGCUGUGGAAGAACUCCAACACAACAUUCGGCACGCACGACCUCAUGCAGUGGUGGAGGCCAGACAGCGACCUAAAGCUCAGCUGUAGGAAAUUCAUCUACCCCGGAGCAUGA
rnacentral:rRNA from 1 species